ensembl:ncRNA F18E2.13 ncRNA
AUGAAAAAAUAGGUAAUCGAUAGUUAAGUGAGAAAUUGCGCGGUUUCUCUGGUUAUCAUUGUGGUAAAGUUCUCCUUACUUUUCAUCUCUAGAGCUCUCGGCGUCUCACACAUUUCUCCCACUAUUUUUCACAAAAACGCGCGACUUCAACUACUCG